ACACGUGACUAAUCUACCCUCCGAGUGGGGAAGUAACCUAGGGAAACCGUAGGGCCUAAUACCGCAUAACAACUUACGAGUCAAAGACAGCAAUGCGCUUGGGGAGGGAGGUCGCGGCAGAUUAGCUAGUUGGUGGGGUAAGUGGCCUACCAAGGCGAUGAUCUGUAUCCGGCCUGAGAGGGCGCACGGACACACUGGAACUGAAACACGGCCCAGACUCCUACGGGAGGCAGCAGUGGGGAAUUUUGCGCAAUGGGGGAAACCCUGACGCAGCAACGCCGCGUGGAGGAUGAAGUCUCU
rnacentral:rRNA from 1 species